UCUGAACGAGGGACUGGUCACGGUCUCUCGGCUGCCAUAGAAACCACAGGGAUGAAUCACCGGUCUGGUUAACGUCUUAUUCAAACGUCUUACUUUCAUCGUCGGGGAAUCGAGGGUUGUAUCGACGAUGAAAGGACAGGCUUCUAUGGAUGAAGACAGCCCUGACUUCGUCCCGUCUGUGUUUUCCUAUAAACGGCAGAAUGACAGGCCUGUGGAAAAGCUGGAGAGGCUGGAAAGAAAAAGGAAAAGGGAAUGUUCAACAGUGGAGCAACAGGCUUCUUGCCAUGCUAAUGAUGAUCCAGUGACACCAGAGGAAGCAGUGGAAGAAGCUGGUCCCUGAAGCAGCAUACAACAGUCUCAGUGAGAAGUAUGAUCAACUCAACACUGAAUAUGUCAACUUAAGAAAAGACUUUUACCAACUUAAAGAGGAGAAUGAAAGACUGAAAGAGGAGCUUCAGAAAUCACACUUCUCAUUCUCCACGAUCAAAAACAAUGCUGCAAACUUUCUGUUUCUCACUGGGUUAACUUCAGUCAUCUUCAGUUGGUUAAUGUCAAAAAUUAAAGACAGUGUGCAGAAGCGAACUGAAAGUCUCAUGCUAGAAGAUCAUUUAUUAGUCGUUCUUAUGAAACUGAGAUUGGGGCUCAGUAACAGAGAUAUUGCAUAUAGGUUCAAAGUUUCUGAAAGCACAGUGUCAAACAUUCUAAGGUCCUGGUUGCCUGUAAUUGCAAACAUCUUGAAAUCCAUUAUUAAAUGGCCAAGUAAAGGUGCUGUCCUUAAAAAUAUGCCCAAAAGUUUCAGGCGACAUUUCAAGAGAUGCAGGUGUAUAAUUGACUGUACAGAGAUAUUCAUAGAGAGAUCUACUAACUUGACUGCCAGGGAACCUGGUCCAAUUACAAGCAUCACAACACUGUUAAGUACCUGGUGGGAAUAACACCUGCUGGGGCAGUUUCAUUUCUGUCCACGGGUUGGGGUGGGAGAGUGUCAGAUAAGCAGAUAACACUUGAAUCAGGAUUUUUGCACUUGUUAGAGCCCAAAGAUGAAAUCUUAGCGGACAGGGGGUUUUUGAUCAGGGAUGAACUUGCUGCUUAUGGUGCCACUUUGUGUAUACCAAAUUUUACCAAAGGAAAGAGUCAGUUACCUGCUUGUGAAGUAGAUUCAUCCAGACAACUGUCACGUGUGAGAAUUCAUGUAGAGAGAGUUAUAAGCAGAUGGAAGAGUUUAAAAAUUUUGCAUUCUGUUAUUCCUAUUUCCCAAGUUAGCCUUUUGGAUGACAUGGUGAUUGUGUGUGGUGCUCUUACCAAUUUGUGUAAAUCUGUGGUACCCAGAAAAGAGAGAGUAUGUCGUGUAUGAAAUAUCAGUGUUGUGUGUACAACAAUGUACUGAUGAUUUAUAUGCUUUUCACUCUAAUUCAAUUGAGAAUUGUUUU